rnacentral:lncRNA from 1 species
CAAGCCAGUGCUGCAAGCUUCAUGGGCUGGCUGUCACACAAGAAAAGGACAUUUUCUCUGCACUAUGGCAGGCGCGAUGAUCUCAGGUAACAAAAUGAAAGCAAGCGCAUGGCCUUCUUCUGAGUGACAGAACUGGCAGCUCAGAGCCACUGCUGAAAAAGAAGAUCCAGAAAAUCCCCACAUUUUGAGUCACAGCUGCAGCUGCUGAGGGCCAAGAUA